AUGAUAUGUUUCACUUGCAGAGGCCCUGGGCACUAUGUUGGUAACUGCAUACAGAAGAAGAUUUGCUUCAUCUGUGGAUUGGAGGGACACAAUGUCAACAACCGCGCAACUUGGGCACAACCACAUCCUGUUGCGACUUUUUUUGGCAGCUCUUUUUUGGGUCUAGGAUUUUAUCAUAUUGAUGCUCCUACGGUGCUAGAAGCUAACUGGUUAAAUUUCAAAAACUGUGGUGAUGUCUGGGUCAUGAAAGGUGACAUUAGUAAAGCAGAUCUGAUCAAGAACUUGUCUGGAAUUUUUUGCAAAAACAAACAGUGGGCUUGGCAAGUUAGGACCCUGACGGAGAAGAAGUUUCUAGUGAGAUUCCUGCCAUGGAAGAACAUGGAUGAACUAAUUGAGUUCCCUGCUUUUGAUCUGCCUAUUGAUGGAGUGUCUAUAACAGUGGAGAAGUGGACUGGGGCGAUUGACCCUUUCAGUGAAUUAACCGAGGCAUGGGUUACCAUUGAAGGACUCUCAUCCAAGUGGUGUACAUGGAAAGUGCUCUCGCAGAUUGCUUCAUGUUUUGGCAUCCUUGUGGAUGUUGAUUGGAAUGGUCUAAUGAAAAGCUUCUAUGAGAAAGUGAGGAUCAAAAUUUCUUGCAGGAAUCUAGCAAAGAUCCCCUUUGAAAGGAUUAUGGAGAUGAGGAAAAAACUAUAUACUCUAUCCUUUACAGUUGAAGGCUUUGAGCAGAUUGAUGCGGAUGACCCUAAUGAUGACAACGGCCCUACUGACAUAUAUGUUGAUGAAGAUAACAAGGAAUCUAGAGAUGAGGAAACUGAUAGAGACCUGUUGGGUGAAGAAGAGGAAGCCAUUGAUGAUCUAGACUUGGCUAAUAGGGCUACCACCUCUAAGAACUCGUCUACUGAGAAACAAUUGAGGAAAAAUGACAGUACCUCUUUCCAUCUUGCUGCUUUAGUUGAGGCUUGUUGCUCCCCUGUGAAAGAUGACAUUGCGAAUGGGAAAGAGACUGAAACACUCGCAGUUGGUGCCUCAAUCCCUUUCGUUGAAGCCAUAAAGAUCUUGGGUGCAUCUAGUGAGUAUAACAUGGGUGCUAUCAUGCCUGCUUCGCCCGUUACAAGAUCUGCAAGACCUAAUGGAGUUCCUCUAACUACCACCUCCCCUGUGUCCAUUCAAAAAACACACUGUUCUAAACCGCUGUAG
rnacentral:rRNA from 1 species